UCUCCGUUGGUGAACCAGCGGAGGGAUCAUUACAGGAUCGAAAGACUCCUAUAACCCCUGUGAACUUACUACAAAUACGUUGCUUCGGCGGGUGCCCCGGGUCUCCCGGGGCGUUCAGCCCGCCGGCAGCCUUCAAAUUCUGUUUCUUUGCGUUGGCAUCUCGAGUAUACAAAAAUAAGUUAAAACUUUCAACAACGGAUCUCUCGGUUCUG
rnacentral:misc_RNA from 1 species